rnacentral:rRNA from 1 species
CCUACGGGGGGCAGCAGUGGGGAAUAUUGGACAAUGGGGGCAACCCUGAUCCAGCCAUGCCGCGUGUGUGAAGAAGGCCCUCGGGUUGUAAAGCACUUUCAGUGAGGAAGAACGCCUGGUGGUUAAUACCCAUCAGGAAAGACAUCACUCACAGAAGAAGCACCGUCUAACUCCGUGCCAGCAGCCGCGGUAAUACGGAGGGUGCGAGCGUUAAUCGGGAUUACUGGGCGUAAAGCGCGCGUAGGUGGCUUGAUAAGCCGGUUGUGAAAGCCCCGGGCUCAACCUGGGAACGGCAUCCGGAACUGUCAAGCUAGAGUGCAGGAGAGGAAGGUAGAAUUCCCGGUGUAGCGGUGAAAUGCGUAGAGAUCGGGAGGAAUACCAGUGGCGAAGGCGGCCUUCUGGACUGACACUGACACUGAGGUGCGAAAGCGUGGGUAGCAAACAGGAUUAGAUACCCUGGUAGUC